rnacentral:rRNA from 1 species
AAAGGUGUGCUAAUACCGCAUAAUCUCUGAGGAGAAAAGCAGGGGAUCGCAAGACCUUGCGCUUUUGGAGCGGCCGAUGUCUGAUUAGCUUGUUGGUGAGGUAAAAGCUUACCAAGGCUUCGAUCAGUAGCUGGUCUGAGAGGACGACCAGCCACACUGGGACUGAGACACGGCCUAGACUCCUACGGGAGGCAGCAGUGGGGAAUUUUGGACAAUGGGGGCAACCCUGAUCCAGCCAUGCCGCGUGAGUGAAGAAGGCCUUCGGGUUGUAAAGCUCUUUCAGCCGGAACGAAACGGUUACGGUUAAUACCCGUGACUACUGACGGUACCGGAAGAAGAAGCACCGGCUAACUACGUGCCAGCAGCCGCGGUAAUACGUAGGGUGCGAGCGUUAAUCGGAAUUACUGGGCGUAAAGCGUGCGCAGGCGGUUUUGUAAGUCAGAUGUGAAAUCCCCGGGCUUAACCUGGGAACUGCGUUUGAAACUACAAGGCUAGAGUGUGGCAGAGGGGGGUGGAAUUCCGCGUGUAGCAGUGAAAUGCGUAGAGAUGUGGAGGAACACCGAUGGCGAAGGCAGCCCCCUGGGUCAGCACUGACGCUCAGGCACGAAAGCAUGGGGAGCAAACAGGAUUAGAUACCCUGGUAGUCCAUGCCCUAAACGAUGUCAACUAGUUGUCGGGCCUUAACGGGCUUGGUAACGUAGCUAACGCGUGAAGUUGACCGCCUGGGGAGUACGAUCGCAAGAUUAAAACUCAAAGGAAUUGACAGGGACCCGCACAAGCGGUGGAUUAUGUGGAUUAAUUCGAUGCAACGCGAAAAACCUUACCUACCCUUGACAUGUAUCGAAGCUCGCAGAGAAGUGAGUGUGCCCGAAAGGGAACGAUAACACAGGUGCUGCAUGGCUGUCGUCAGCUCGUGUCGUGAGAUGUUGGGUUAAGUCCCGCAACGAGCGCAACCCUUGUCAUUAAUUGCCAUCAUUUAGUUGGGCACUUUAAUGAGACUGCCGGUGACAAACCGGAGGAAGGUGGGGAUGACGUCAAGUCCUCAUGGCCCUUA